rnacentral:lncRNA from 1 species
CUAACUAUAUAUUCAUAAUCUAAACCAUGUUCCAAACAUACACCGUGUUUAUCACACAAAGUAUAGUGCCCCGCCCCCUACAUUAUGACAAGUAUUGUAACGCCCACGAUGCGGCUAUAUCUCCCACGUGUCGAAGCACGACUUAGAGGCAUAACCGCAUUGUGGUUUUAUCGCAAGAAGGGUCAUCUUCACACAAUCCCAUGUAAUGAACAAGAAAGGGAUAAAUAGAGUUGGCUUACAAUCGCCACUUCACACAAUACUUAAAUAAGUCAUACAUCAUUCAGAGUACACACAUAGGUCCGACUACGGACAAAUCCAAAAGAAAGAAGACAACACCAAAUGCUAGAUCCUCGAUUGUCCCAACUGGGCUCCACUACUGAUCAUCCGGAAAAGAAACAUAGUAAUGACCAAGAUCCUCAUCGAACUCCCAACUCAGCUCGGUUGCAUCACCUGCACUGGUAUCAUCGGCACUUACAACUAUUUGGUAGUAUCUGGUGAGUCACGAGGACUAAGCAAUCUCAAAAACCCGCGAGAUCAAGACUAUUUAAGCUUAAGGGUAGGAUAAGGUAAUGAGAUGGAGUUGCAGUAAGCACUAAGCAAAUAUGGUGGCUAACAUACGCAAAUAAGAGCGAGAAGAGAAGCAACGCAACGGUCGUGAAGCUAGAAGUGAUCAAGAAGUGAUCCUGAAACUACUUACGUUCAACCAUAACACAAACCGUGUUCACUUCCCAGACUCCGCCGAGAAGAGACCAUCACGGCUACACACGCGGUUGAUGCGUUUUAAUUAAGUCAAGUGUCAAGUUCUCUACAACCGGAUAUUAACAAAUUCCCAUCUGCCACAUAACCGCGGGCACGGCUCUCGAAAGAUUAUACCCUGCAGGGGUGUCCCAACUUAACCCAUCACAAGAUCUCACGAUCAGCGAAGGAUAUUCCUUCUCCCGGAAAGACCUGAUCAGUCUCGGAAUCCCGGUUACAAGACAUUUCGACAAUGGUAAAACAAGACCAGCAAGACCGCCCGAUGUGCCGACAAAUCCCGAUUGGAGUCGCACGUAUCUCGUUCUCAGGGCACAUCUGAUGGGCAAGACAUCGGGUUGGCAUAGACCCUGGUUGCCCAGGGGGCGCCGGAUAUCGCCCGGUUCGGACCAACACUUCGAGAAGCACUGGCCCGAGGGGGGGGGGUUAAAAUAAAGAUGACCCUCGGGUUUAUAACUCCCAAGGGAAAAUUAGUAGGUUGUUAGGCAAAUGUAAAACCAAGGUUGGACCUUGCUAGAGGAGUUUUAUUCAAAGCGAACUGUCAAGGGGUUCCCAUAAACCCGACCGCGUAAGGAAGGCAAAAUCAAGGAACAUAACACCGGUAUGACGGAAACUAAGGCGGCAAGAGUGGAACAAAACACCAGGCAUAAUGCUGAGUCUUCCACCCUUUAUCAGAUAUAUAGAUGCAUUAAUUAAAUAAGAGAUAUUGUGAUAUCCCAAUAUAAUCAUGUUCCAACAAGGAGCAAUCUUCAACUUCACCUGCAACUAACAACGCUAUAAGAAGGGCUGAGAAAAAGCAGCAACUUAGCCAAACAACGGUUUGCUAGGAAGAGUGAAAAGGUUAGAUGCUAACUAUGCCACGCUAUCACAACUUGCUCCAAGCUAAACUAUUUAGAAACGAAGGUUAAAAUGCCAUCUAUCUAUGAGUUAAAACUUGAACGACUCCAAUAUUCUUCCUAGAAAGAAGGACAACGAGUCCUAUAUUGAUGCAUUCCAGGACCUUUCCUUUCUAAGUUCCUGCCAUGUUAAUUGCAGAGUUAUUGAUUUUGGGACGGAGGGAGUAUUAUAAAGUUAAAGUUGUUGAAGCUUGUCAGAGUUGAGUAAUUAUAAAUGUUACUUUGGAUAUGUUUAGUUCCAUCUUACUAUAUAAAGAGAACAUCAGCUAUGGUAUUAAAAAAUAAACCCACCAACACGUAGCAGAGCUACAUAUAUUAUGAAUGUUAAUACAAAAACACUUUGAAUGAGUACUCGGGUUUUCUUACAUAUAUUUUCAAAAGGCUGCCUCAAGCAAUAUUACUAAAUCAAACCAACCAAAGUAUAGUUCUAAUUCUAAGUGCAAAAUAUGAGUGCUCGGUUCUUCCACAAGGCACAUCAUCUGAUAUUAAGUACAUUUUGUAAUUUCAAAAUUAUGAGAAAAUAUUUCAUGUUGCAAGACUGGAUGAUCUCACUGGAGGGUCCUUGCCACUACAACACAUGUUACCAUACUAAUGAACAAACACUUCCUCGUAUACAUUAGGGGUUUGCAAAUGUUACAAUCCACUAUCUAAAACAGUCUGGACAUGAAUGUAACUUUUAUUGGAUGAUUCAAAAUGCGGUGUUGCAUAUACAGUAGCUAGUAGCUACUAUACUUUAACUAAAGAACAUGAAUCUGAAAAGCACAAACAUAUCAGGAAGCAUUGGUAUAACGGAAAAUUGAUUUGCAGUCAGUUAAAGGAUGACAUAAAAGAAAAUUUUGGCAUCCAGUCCAAGAUUGCAUAUACUUCUAAAGAACAUGAAUUAAAGCAGUUUAUUCAUAUAGCAUGGAUCCUUUCGUCUGAAGUAAAGAAGCCCAUGAAGUAAGGAUCCGGAUACCUCGGGGUGGAGUGGAAAUGGCGGGGU